CGGAUUGUAGGCUGAAACUCGCCUACAUGAAGCUGGAAUUGCUAGUAAUCACAGGUCAGCAUACUGUGGUGAAUACGUUCCCGGGCCUUGUACACACCGCCCGUCACACCAUGAGAGUUGAGAAUACCCGAAGCCCAUGUCAAAGUGGUCGAAGGUAGGCUUGAUGAUUGGGGUGAAGUCGUAACAAGGUAAC
rnacentral:rRNA from 1 species